rnacentral:lncRNA from 1 species
AACCACACCAGCUUAGUCACCGCGUAUUUGCCCACACCGCGUAUUUGCCCAACCCACCCAUACUUUCAACUUCAGGAGAGAAUAUUUCAAGCUUUCCUCGAUGAAUAGGUGGGGCUGGUUAUGGGAUGGAAUCCAAGACGUCUCCGGUACGGGUCUUUUGGGUGUAAACGAUCCAUGUGCUGCUCGUAAUCCCAAGCACUAGAAAGAGACAACGUGUUCAUGUGAAAGCCAGCGAGAUCACGCUGGCCUCUGUCUUCGUUCCAGAGCUGGCUGGCUGACUCAUCCCCUCGGUUAUGAGUCUGGUGUCAUCAAGUGGGAAGUCUCUCCACUGGCAAACAAAGCAGCGUAUAUACAUGUCUUUGUCCCACUAUACCAUUUUGGGAAUGCAAACUCAUGAUGCUUCAUGUGAUUCUCUGCGUCCAUAGUACGGAAUGUGGGAGAUAUGUCUCCCACAAAAGAGAAGGGUAGGAUGACAACUGUUUUGAGGAUACAGCUUGGUCAAGUCACAUGGGAUGAUGC